rnacentral:rRNA from 1 species
GAGUUUGAUCCUGGCUCAGAUUGAACGCUGGCGGCAUGCCUUACACAUGCAAGUCGAACGGCAGCACGGGAGCUUGCUCCUGGUGGCGAGUGGCGAACGGGUGAGUAAUGCAUCGGAACGUAUCCUGGAGUGGGGGAUAACGUAGCGAAAGUUACGCUAAUACCGCAUAUUCUGUGAGCAGGAAAGCGGGGGACCUUCGGGCCUCGCGCUCUUGGAGCGGCCGAUGUCGGAUUAGCUAGUUGGUGAGGUAAAGGCUCACCAAGGCGACGAUCCGUAGCAGGUCUGAGAGGAUGAUCUGCCACACUGGAACUGAGACACGGUCCAGACUCCUACGGGAGGCAGCAGUGGGGAAUUUUGGACAAUGGGGGCAACCCUGAUCCAGCCAUGCCGCGUGAGUGAAGAAGGGCCUCGGUUGUAAGUACGUACUUUCCCGUACGGGUAACGGAAAGUUAGUAC